rnacentral:rRNA from 1 species
UACAGAGGUCCCAAGCGUUGUUCGGAUUCAUUGGGCGUAAAGAGCGUGUAGGCGGCUUCGUCAGUCCGUUGUGAAAGUCCAGGGCUCAACCCUGGAAUGCCGAUGGAUACUGCGGAGCUAGAGUCCGGAAGAGGCGAGUGGAAUUCCUGGUGUAGCGGUGAAAUGCGCAGAUAUCAGGAGGAACACCUAUGGCGAAGGCAGCUCGCUGGGACGGCACUGACGCUGAGACGCGAAAGCGUGGGGAGCAAACGGG